CAUGGGGUGGAUCAGGUGGCAGAUCGCCCGGCUGUGGACCGGGAAGGCGCCGGUUCGAGUCCGGCCCCCAUGUCCA
rnacentral:tRNA from 1 species